rnacentral:rRNA from 1 species
GAUGAACGCUGGCGGCGUGCCUAACACAUGCAAGUCGAGCGAUUUACUUCGGUAAAGAGCGGCGGACGGGUGAGUAACGCGUGGGUAACCUGCCCUGUACACACGGAUAACAUACCGAAAGGUAUGCUAAUACGAGAUAAUAUACUUUUAUCUCAUGGUAGAAGUAUCAAAGCUCUGGCGGUACAGGAUGGACCCGCGUCUGAUUAGCUAGUUGGUAAGGUAACGGCUUACCAAGGCGACGAUCAGUAGCCGACCUGAGAGGGUGAUCGGCCACAUUGGAACUGAGACACGGUCCAAACUCCUACGGGAGGCAGCAGUGGGGAAUAUUGCACAAUGGGCGAAAGCCUGAUGCAGCAACGCCGCGUGAGCGAUGAAGGCCUUCGGGUCGUAAGCUCUGUCCUCAAGAAGAUAAUGACGGUACUUGAGGAGGAAGCCCCGGCGUAACUACGUG